GGAUUGCCUCAGUAACGGCGAGUGAAGCGGCAACAGCUCAAAUUUGAAAUCUGGCCCCGUCGGGGUCCGAGUUGUAAUUUGUAGAGAGUGUUUCGGGCGAGACCACGGUCUAAGUCUAUUGGAACAUGGCGUCAUAGAGGGUGAGAAUCCCGUAUGUGACCGUGGCUCGAGCCCAUGUGAAGCCUCUUCGACGAGUCGAGUUGUUUGGGAAUGCAGCUCAAAAUGGGUGGUAAAUUUCAUCUAAAGCUAAAUACUGGCUGGAGACCGAUAGCGCACAAGUAGAGUGAUCGAAAGAUGAAAAGCACUUUGGAAAGAGAGUCAAAAAGUACGUGAAAUUGUUGAAAGGGAAGCGCUUGCAACCAGACCUGUCCGUAGGUGAUCAGCCGCUGUUCUCAGUGGUGCACUCGCUCUGCGAUCAGGCCAGCAUCGGUUCCGGCGGUCGGAUAAAGGCCUUGGGAAUGUAGCUCCCUUCGGGGAGUCUUAUAGCCCUCGGUGCAAUGCGGCCAGCCGGGACCGAGGACCGCGCUUCGGCUAGGAUGCUGGCGUAAUGGUUGUAAGCGACCCGUCUUGAAACACGGACCAAGGAGUCUAACAUCUAUGCGAGUGUUUGGGUGUUAAACCCAUGCGCGGAAUGAAAGUGAACGGAGGUGAGAACCCUUUAGGGCGCAUCAUCGACCGAUCCAGAUGUCUUCGGAUGGAUUUGAGUAUGAGCAUAGCUGUUGGGACCCGAAAGAUGGUGAACUAUGCCUGAAUAGGGUGAAGCCAGAGGAAACUCUGGUGGAGGCUCGCAGCGGUUCUGACGUGCAAAUCGAUCGUCAAAUUUGGGUAUAGGGGCGAAAGACUAAUCGAACCAUCUAGUAGCUGGUUCCUGCCGAAGUU
rnacentral:rRNA from 1 species